CAAAUGGUCUCUUGGGAUUUGACACAGCUCUGACCAGGUAGUCAAGUUCCUUCUGCAUAAGGAAACCAGCAACAAAAGAUUUCAAGUACUUAGCCACACUUAGCCACACCCUCUAUGGAAGCGUGGGCCCUCCAUAUACUCUGC